UGAGGAAUAUUGGUCAAUGGACGCGAGUCUGAACCAGCCAAGUAGCGUGAAGGAUGACUGCCCUAUGGGUUGUAAACUUCUUUUAUAUGGGAAUAAAGUUGUCCACGUGUGGAUUUUUGUAUGUACCAUAUGAAUAAGGAUCGGCUAACUCCGUGCCAGCAGCCGCGGUAAUACGGAGGAUCCGAGCGUUAUCCGGAUUUAUUGGGUUUAAAGGGAGCGUAGGCGGAUUGUUAAGUCAGUUGUGAAAGUUUGCGGCUCAACCGUAAAAUUGCAGUUGAUACUGGUAGUCUUGAGUGCAGCAGAGGUAGGCGGAAUUCGUGGUGUAGCGGUGAAAUGCUUAGAUAUCACGAAGAACUCCGAUUGCGAAGGCAGCUUACUGGACUGUAACUGACGCUGAUGCUCGAAAGUGUGGGUAUCAAACAGGAUUAGAUACCCUGGUAGUCCACACAGUAAACGAUGAAUACUCGCUGUUUGCGAUAUACAGCAAGCGGCCAAGCGAAAGCAUUAAGUAUUCCACCUGGGGAGUACGCCGGCAACGGUGAAACUCAAAGGAAUUGACGGGGGCCCGCACAAGCGGAGGAACAUGUGGUUUAAUUCGAUGAUACGCGAGGAACCUUACCCGGGCUUAAAUUGCAACUGACGGAUUUGGAAACAGAUCUUCCUUCGGGCAGUUGUGAAGGUGCUGCAUGGUUGUCGUCAGCUCGUGCCGUGAGGUGUCGGCUUAAGUGCCAUAACGAGCGCAACCCUUAUCUUUAGUUACUAACAGGUCAUGCUGAGGACUCUAGAGAGACUGCCGUCGUAAGAUGUGAGGAAGGUGGGGAUGACGUCAAAUCAGCACGGCCCUUACGUCCGGGGCUACACACGUGUUACAAUGGGGGGUACAGAAGGCAGCUACACAGCGAUGUGAUGCUAAUCCCAAAAGCCUCUCUCAGUUCGGAUUGGAGUCUGCAACCCGACUCCAUGAAGCUGGAUUCGCUAGUAAUCGCGCAUCAGCCACGGCGCGGUGAAUACGUUCCC
rnacentral:rRNA from 1 species